GUGCCAGCAGCCGCGGUAAUACAGAGGUCUCAAGCGUUGUUCGGAUUCAUUGGGCGUAAAGGGUGCGUAGGUGGCGAGGUUAGUCAGGUGUGAAAUCUCGGGGCUCAACCCCGAAACUGCACUUGAUACUGCCUUGCUAGAGUACUGGAGAGGAGAUUGGAAUUUACGGUGUAGCAGUGAAAUGCGUAGAUAUCGUAAGGAAGACCAGUGGCGAAGGCGAAUCUCUGGACAGUUACUGACACUGAGGCACGAAGGCCAGGGGAGCAAACGGGAUUAGAUACCCGGGUAGUCC
rnacentral:rRNA from 1 species